AUUAGAGUUUGAUUAUGGCUCAGGAUGAACGCUAGCUACAGGCUUAACACAUGCAAGUCGAGGGGCAGCAUGGUCUUAGCUUGCUAAGGCUGAUGGCGACCGGCGCACGGGUGAGUAACACGUAUCCAACCUGCCGUCUACUCUUGGCCAGCCUUCUGAAAGGAAGAUUAAUCCAGGAUGGGAUCAUGAGUUCACAUGUCCGCAUGAUUAAAGGUAUUUUCCGGUAGACGAUGGGGAUGCGUUCCAUUAGAUAGUAGGCGGGGUAACGGCCCACCUAGUCAACGAUGGAUAGGGGUUCUGAGAGGAAGGUCCCCCACAUUGGAACUGAGACACGGUCCAAACUCCUACGGGAGGCAGCAGUGAGGAAUAUUGGUCAAUGGGCGAUGGCCUGAACCAGCCAAGUAGCGUGAAGGAUGACUGCCCUAUGGGUUGUAAACUUCUUUUAUAAAGGAAUAAAGUCGGGUAUGCAUACCCGUUUGCAUGUACUUUAUGAAUAAGGAUCGGCUAACUCCGUGCCAGCAGCCGCGGUAAUACGGAGGAUCCGAGCGUUAUCCGGAUUUAUUGGGUUUAAAGGGAGCGUAGAUGGAUGUUUAAGUCAGUUGUGAAAGUUUGCGGCUCAACCGUAAAAUUGCAGUUGAUACUGGAUGUCUUGAGUGCAGUUGAGGCAGGCGGAAUUCGUGGUGUAGCGGUGAAAUGCUUAGAUAUCACGAAGAACUCCGAUUGCGAAGGCAGCCUGCUAAGCUGCAACUG
rnacentral:rRNA from 1 species